rnacentral:rRNA from 1 species
GAUGAACGCUGGCGGCGUGCCUAAUACAUGCAAGUCGAGCGAACAGACGAGGAGCUUUCUCCUCUGACGUUAGCGGCGGACGGGUGAGUAACACGUGGAUAACCUACCUAUAAGACUGGGAUAACUUCGGGAAACCGGAGCUAAUACCGGAUAAUAUAUUGAACCGCAUGGUUCAAUAGUGAAAUACGGUUUUGCUGUCACUUAUAGAUGGAUCCGCGCCGCAUUAGCUAGUUGGUAAGGUAACGGCUUACCAAGGCAACGAUGCGUAGCCGACCUGAGAGGGUGAUCGGCCACACUGGAACUGAGACACGGUCCAGACUCCUACGGGAGGCAGCAGUAGGGAAUCUUCCGCAAUGGGCGAAAGCCUGACGGAGCAACGCCGCGUGAGUGAUGAAGGUCUUCGGAUCGUAAAACUCUGUUAUUAGGGAAGAACAAAUGUGUAAGUAACUAUGCACGUCUUGACGGUACCUAAUCAGAAAGCCACGGCUAACUACGUG